rnacentral:rRNA from 1 species
CCUACGGGAGGCAGCAGUAGGGAAUCUUCCGCAAUGGACGAAAGUCUGACGGAGCAACGCCGCGUGAGCGAUGAAGGCCUUCGGGUCGUAAAGCUCUGUUGUCAGGGAAGAACAAGUAUCGGAGUAACUGCCGGUACCUUGACGGUACCUGACCAGAAAGCCACGGCUAACUACGUGCCAGCAGCCGCGGUAAUACGUAGGUGGCAAGCGUUGUCCGGAAUUAUUGGGCGUAAAGCGCGCGCAGGCGGUUCCUUAAGUCUGAUGUGAAAGCCCCCGGCUCACCGGGGAGGGUCAUUGGAAACUGGGGAACUUGAGUGCAGAAGAGGAGAGCGGAAUUCCACGUGUAGCGGUGAAAUGCGUAGAGAUGUGGAGGAACACCAGUGGCGAAGGCGGCUCUCUGGUCUGUAACUGACGCUGAGGCGCGAAAGCGUGGGGAGCGAACAGGAUUAGAUACCCUGGUAGUCCACGCCGUAAACGAUGAGUGCUAAGUGUUAGAGGGUUUCCGCCCUUUAGUGCUGCAGCAAACGCAUUAAGCACUCCGCCUGGGGAGUACGGCCGCAAGGCUGAAACUCAAAGGAAUUGACGGGGGCCCGCACAAGCGGUGGAGCAUGUGGUUUAAUUCGAAGCAACGCGAAGAACCUUAC